GUGUGUGUGUGUGUGUGUGUGUGUGUGUGUGUGUGUGUGUGUGUGUGUGUGUGUGUGUGAGUGUGUGUGUGUGUGUGUGUGUGUGUGUGUGUGUGUGUGUGUGUGUGUGUGUGUGUGUGUGUGUGUUGCGCUGCAGUUGAACACCAAUCCUUCACUAUUUAACACCAUAAACACUCUUGAAAACCCGAUUAGUCAUCUCUGUGGCCUUGGAAAACAGUCUUGGUGUGAGACUAAAGGUUUCUGAUCCCUUUCUAAACAUUAUCUGGACAAAAUAACUUAUAAAAUGGCUUCCUUCCAUAAUUAUAACAUAUUUAACUUUUUUUUUUUUAACUGUGUAUAUAUAUUUUAAUCCUCCUAUCCCCCCCCCCUUAAAACAGAUAAGGAAUCAAAUAGUAUGUAAAAUUGUAACUCCUCUCUUUUUCCCGCCAAAAAUGUCUCUCCCCCUCCACGUUCAAGAAUGCGGGAAAUUUAUUAAUAUAUUUUGAUUCUCUUAUAAUAGAAUAAUACAAAUGGAUACUUGCUCUCUAUUUAAUUUAUAUAUAUUGUUGUUGUUGUUUUUUUUAUUGUUAUUAACGCUGCUGGCGGCGUUAAUAUAAUAAUGAUAAUAAAAUAAAUAACAGCGGUUUUAAAUUUACCGCUCCUGUUAUUGUUGUUGUUAUUGUUAUCGUUUUUAUUUAUAUUAGUAAGUAGUUCUUUUUAUUUAUCUAUUUAUUUAUUCAUUAUUAUUUUUUUUUUUUUUGCUGUUAUUUUUGUGUGUUGAAAUUUCUAAUGAAUGUUUUUUUUCUUUAUUUUUUUUCUUUGAGGUUUGUUGUGGUAUGAUAAUAUACUGUGUGUCUCGC